ensembl:lncRNA
AUGCUAGGUAAGACGAUGCUAGGUAAGAGGAAGAGCCCACAGAGAGAUCUGCUGUCAUUCUGGGCAGUGCCAGUGACAGCCCCCCCUUAUGCACCCCCGGAAAAUGAGAGUGCAGAGGGCACAGAAGAAAUGGAAGAUAAAGCGAGAUCAGAAGAGAUUGAGGACAGUGAGGGCGAAGAUUUUGAUUGUAUACAAAUUGAAAACACAGAGACAGAAGAGCCAGCAGAAAAAAAUGUGGAGAUAAGAAUAAAUUCAGGGAAGAAGCAGAAGGCCAAAAGUGGAGCAGCCAUCUACAGGUGCACUUUUAAAAGGGAGUGGACAGCAGAAUGGCCCUUCAUUAGUGUAGGCACAACCACCGCCUACUUUUGGUGCUCUGUUUGCCAACAUGAGAACAGCUGUGCCCAUCAAGGCAAGGCUGAUGUCGCAAGGCAUAUCAAAAGCAAAAUACAUCGUUCAAAAGAACAGGCAGCACAGUCAACAGACAGCAUUGCGCCAUAUUAUGGCCCAGCCACUGUUGGUGGCAUGACAUCUCAGGAAGUCAAGACAAGGAGAGCUGAGGUAAAGUUAGCAGUGUCGAUGGUGGAACACAAUGUGCCAUUUGCAGUAGCCGAUCACUUCAGCCCAUUGCUGAAAGAAUGCUUCAAAGAUUCCCCUACUGCACAGAGCUUCAAGGCUGCCCGCACAAAAAUGUCCUGCAUAAUAAAUGAAGCAGUGGCUCCUCACUUUAGAAAGGAACUGGUCAUGAAGAUGAGGACCAAUCCUUUCACGUUGAUCACAGAUGGAUCAAAUGAUACAGGACGUGAGAAGAUGAACCCGCUCACUGUGCGGGUAUAUGACAGUGAUCUCAGCAAAGUUGUCCACAGGUUCCUGGAUAUGUGCCCCACCAGCGGGCCAAACUGCGGCACAGCUGAAGUCGAGAAGAUGGAUGAGGCCAUGCAGAAAAACAGCAUACCAUGGAGAAACUGUGUCAGUCUGUCAGUUGAUAAUGCCCCUGUCAAUACAGGAGCAAGGAACUCCAUCGCAUCCAGAGCUCAUCAAGAACAUGGCAGUAUCUACAUCCAUGGGUGCCCUUGUCACAUCAUCCACAACACUGCCAAACAGGCUGGCCAGGCCUUUUUGGAGGUGUGUGGAUUUGAUCCAGAGGAUCUCGCUGUGGAUGUUGGAUAUUGGUUUAAAGGAAGCACCAAUCGCAAAGGUUACCUAACAGGUAUGUGUGUGCAGUCCCAAUGUCGUACAAAUUAAAUCUAUAAUACUCCGUGUUCGACGUCCCCGUUGGACCAGGGUCCACUCACCGUUGGUUAGGGGGUCGUUGGGAUGCAUGGUUCUCUUCGAGCAGUGCAGGAACUCGAACGAUAACGGAAUGAAGCUAAGCUAAACUGUAAGGUAAUAAGACAAGUGCGAUCCAGCCAAUAUCCGUAUUUAUUUUUAGGAAAUUAGGCUGCUGUAUGCUAGUACGACGUUUCGUCAAAUAAUUGACUUCAUCAGGUACAAAUUUAGUAGCAAUAGAAACAGACCCUAUGACAGAGAAUCCACGCAAGCCGAGGGAACAGAGCACAAAUGUGACAGCACAAAAACAAAUACUUUUAUAGACACACAACAGAGGGAGGGGAAAGUUGACAUCUGGGGUAGAGGCAUCCAAUGGGGGGCCGGUGCAUCACAACAAUUUUGAAAUUUGGGGUGGAGAGCCAAUGGGGGGUCAGGUGGAGAGCCAAUGGGGGGUCAGGAGGAUAAACAGCUUUGAGAUUUGAAUUGGGCCAAUAGGGAGGUUGAAUUUUCAAAUGUAAUUGUGCAAUAAUGCAACAAUGUAGCAUAAUUCUGUCACCAGCAGGUGGAGUGAGGAGGACCAUGGUGCCUGCACCUUCCGGAGCCGCCAGCAGUGGUCGCUGAUUGUCCCUAAACCGGGUGGUGUUGGACUGACAGCUCGCGACAGAAUUUAAUAAAAACAUAAUCAAAUGACCCCGUUGCAUUAAAUUAUAGCAGUGGAGGACAAAAACAAAUAACAGAAAAUAAUAAAAACAUAAAAGAUCGAACGUGCCCCGAACAAUAAAAUGUGUAAUAAUGUGACCGUAAAUACGGUUCAAACAUUAGAAGCAUCCUUAUUUGCAUUAUAUAUACAUUUUAAAUUACAUAUAUACAAUAGGGAAGAGGAAGCAGCAGGUGAGUAGGGGAUGGGAGAUGAAUGAGAGGGGACUGGGGGACACGGGAUGGUGGAGGACGAUAAAAAACGAAUAAAAUAAAUUAAAUUGAGGGCCUAGAUAAAGGGGGAAGACGCAGGAAGGGUCAAUGGGGAGCCGGGAGGGUAAAUUAAUAAAUUGGUGAAAGUAGGGGGGCCGAUCGUAAGGUUGAAUUAAAGCGCAAUAAAAACAUAGCGUGUAAACAAUGUUAUUUUUGUACGUUGUACUACCAUCAAACAUCCAGGAGAUGGAGCAUGGAGAACCGUGGUGUUAUAAUGAAUUUGGGUCACCAACAGGGGGUGCUAAGUGACUCCAAACCAUAUUAAUGUUGGAGAUCCAAGAUGGCGGCCUCCGUGGGCAGAAACGUAAACAAAACAUUAAACAAGAGCGGUAUUAGGGGUCACAAAAAUCCAAAUGUAUGACGAUAAAUAGUAAAAGUAGAACACGAGACGAACCAGCAGAGAACAAAACACAAAAAGCUACAAAUUGAGCCGAAAAACUUAAAAGAGUUUGGACCAAAAUGGCCGCAGAGUGUUUUCGUUCCCCGUGGUCAGCAGGUGUCGCCAAAUAGACCAAAACCAUGCGUUCCUAUUAAAACAGUGGGUCAAAUCAAUGUACUGUCGAGGUUUGAAGAGUACAUUAAAGCACUUUUAAGGAAUGAUGUGGUAACGUGAUCGCUUGAAUAAAUAAGAAUGGCAGGGAAGGGGGGGGGCACAGGACAUCAAUAGAAUAAUUACACAGGGUGCAUUUGGAAACCAUAUUAAAAGUAAUAUUGUUUGUAAAUAGGAAUGUAUGAAAAAUAAAAAAUAGGGGGGCUGGGGCAGGGGGGCAGAAUAAACACAAACACGUGGUAAGAAAAAUGAGAAAGGGGGAUCCUUUGUGGGGGGCCGGGGGCUGGGGUGGAGGUCAUGUAAGGGGGCCUUUGGGGGGUAGGGAAGGGAGAGGUUGGGGUUAGGGUCAGGGGUGGGAGAGGUUAGGUUUAGGGCCAGGGGGCGGGGUCAGGGUAAGGGCUAGGUAAGGGAGGGGGUUGGGGUUAGGGUCAGGGGUGGGAAGGGUUAGGUUUAGGACCGGGAGAGGGUCGGGGUUAGGGUUAGGGUCAGGUGAGGGAGAGGGUUAGGGUUAGGACAGUCAGUAAUUAACGACGCCACGGUGGCGUCGCUGGCACGGCCCAUCAUCAGGCGGCUCCCCAGGGGUCCCCGACCCACCCCAACGUUCAAACCAAGGGGUUGCAUGGUCCCCAGCCUGUCAAUCCAAAUCCUCUCCGACCUGCGCCGUUGGGCGGCAGACCAGAAGGGGUUGGCUUCUAGCACGUCGUUUCUCUCCGCGUCGGCCAAGGCUAACCCAUGCGGGGGUGUCGAGCCGGAGGGCGGUGGAGGAGGAGGAGGAGGGGGAGGAAGAGGAGAAGAGGAAGGUCCGGGUGCGGGCAUGGCUGCGACUCGUCGGCGGAGGUGGCUGGACGCGAGCCUGGUCCUUUGAGCCAACGGUGUGGUGCUCUGGAGAAGUCCCGGGGCUGCAGGCCGUGGAGGAGAGGGGGUAAGGGGAACGGGAGAGGAAGAGGAGGCGGGGGGGAUGGGGGGGCACAGGGGCGGAGAAGAAGGAGAGGAGGAGAAGGCCAGCGAAAAGGUAGGCGACGGCAGCCUGGCCGGGGAGCGCCGUCAAGGGCCUCCGGACCGGGUCCAGGGGACCGGAGGCCGGGGGCAGGAGGCGGUAGUCCAGCAGGUAGGGUGAAGCGUGGCAGCACGGCUCCAGGGGCGGGUUGCGGGAACAGCUGGACCAGAGGGACCGGAACGUCCAGAACCUCUCUGAGGCGAGAGCGCAGCGCGCUCACCGUCUCCGGGCGCAGGCGUUGGCCGAAGUGGCGUUGAGCCCAGGCCAGGGCCACGGUGAAGUUCGGGCGCCAGAUGGGGUCUGGAAGGAGGAGGAGAGCCCCCACCUUCUCGUCCACCGCAGCCUUGUAGUGGUCCCGGAGCAGCAGCAUGCUGGUGUACCGCCAGUUGCGCGCGUCACCGUCAAUCAGCUGCGCGGUCGCGGCGUUGGGGACAGCAGGGCGAAUGGAGACCCUCAGGGACUCAGCUAGCCUGGCGACGACGGGAAGGGGCUCCGGGCCCUCGGCGUUGGCGAGGUGGUGAGAGGCCUUCAGGGCCGCCAGGAGUCCGGGUCGUCAGAGAGCUGAGCAGCCGGGGCACGCGGCGUCUCCCUGGGUGGGGUCGGACGCUCAGACCCAGUGCGCGCCGCGGUGGUGACGGAGGUCGGGGCCGGUCGCGGGGUCGUGGGUCGGGACGCGGAGGGGGAGGUCUCACCUGCGGGGUCCGGCGGGGGGACUCGGAGCUCGGGCGGGAUGGCGAGGAGCCCGACGCGUCUCAGGAGCGCGGCGAUGGAGAGGCUCCUGCGCCUCACGGCGAGGAGGCGAGUAGGCCGGUCUGUGAGGAGGUGGGUAGGCCGGUCGGCGUGGAGGCGAGUAGGCCGGUCCGUGGGCCUCGGACCAACCCUCGUGGUGGUCACGGGUAGGCCCGUAGGGAGACCAGACCCUGACGGGCCUCGCGUGUUGCUCCCAACGUCUGGGAGACGGGUGGCGUGGGGCCCAGAGACGUUCGUGUCCGUGGUCGAAGUGAUGGAAGCGGGCCUCCGGAGCAGGUGCAGCCCACGCGGAGAAAUCCAUCAGCGUCGGGGGGUAGUGGGGGUCCCGAGGAGUCCGCCUGCGACGUCCCUGUUGGACCAGGGUCCACUCACCGUCAUCUUGAAGGUGGUUCGGUUGCAUGUUUCUUUUCGAAUAGUUCGAAUUCGAAUUAAAACAGAAAGUAUCUAAGCUAUACUGAAAUAAACUAAACUGAACUGUAAGGUAAUGAGACAAGUGCUAUCCAGCCAAUAUCCGAUUUAUUUGGAAAUUAGGCUGCUGUGGGCAUAGUACUAUGUUUCGUCAAUACAAUGACUUCAUCGGGUACAAAUAGAUAGCAUAGAAACAGACCGUAUAAUGGAGAAUCCAGACAAGCCGUGGUUACAGAGCACAAAUGAGAGACAACGAAAACAAAUACUUUUAUACAGACAUGUAGGAGGGAGGGGGGACUUGAGGUCUGGGGCAGAGACAUCCAAUAGGGGGCCAGGGCAUCAAAACUAUUUCAAAUUUAAACAUGAAAAGCCAAUGGGGGGGUCAGGUGAAGAGCCAAUGAGAGGUCAGGAGGGUAAACAACUUUAAAGUUUGAAUUUGGGCCAAUCAGGGGGUCGAAUUUCAAAAGUAAUGCUGAAGGAAUGCAACAUUAUAUCACUUUUGCUGUGUUUCUCCAGGUCACCAGCAGGUGGAGCCCGGAGGAUCGUGGUGUCUGCACCAACCGGAGCCGCCAGCAGGGGCUGCUAAGUCGCCUUAAACCGGGUGGUGUUAAGGAAGCAGAGAUGACGGCCGUAAUAGAAAUAAUUAAAAACACAAUAAAAUAAUACCGUUGUAUCGAAUUAUUGUAGUGUGGGGGUCAAGGUGAUACAAUCCAAGGGUAAAAAAUAUACAAAAACAUAAAAGGCAAACUGUACAU